UGUUGUUUUUUUUUUUCUUACACCAAAAAUUAUUUCAAAAGCAAUCCCAUGAUUUCACAUUAAUAUAAUGUUUUUAACAUUUAUUUCUUACAUUUUUAAAGAUUUUUUUUUCUCUUCUUGCUAGAGCUGAUUGAUAUACACAUAUUUUUAUCAUUGAUUUUAGUAUAGACAUCAAAUAAAAGGUAUACUAUAAUUUGAUUUUUCAAUUUGUGUGCGAAAGAUGGUAAAAUCUGUUUGAUUAAAAUACAAAGCUAGAUUCAAGUAAAUAUUUUUUUUUUAAUUUUGUCUGUUUUCUUUUUUAAAAUAAAAUGAUUGGGGGUAAUUUGUUGAGUGUUGAGGAGGAGGAGGAGAAGUCGUCACAAGGCUUUUUCCAAAGUCUUUGGCAAAUAAACGUCAUAUUCAUCACGAGAACAAAAAGAUAAAAAUAAAUGAAAAGAC
rnacentral:lncRNA from 1 species